rnacentral:rRNA from 1 species
CAGCCGCCGCGGUAAUACCAGCUCCCCGAGUGGUCGGGGCGUUUAUUGGGCCUAAAGCGCCCGUAGCCGGCUCGACAUGUCUCCCGUUAAAUCCAUCGGCUCAACCGAUGGGCCGCGGGGGAUACUGCCGGGCUAGGAGGCGGGAGAGGCCGAGGGUACUCCCGGGGUAGGGGUAAAAUCCUCUGAUCCCGGGAAGACCACCAGUGGCGAAGGCGCUCGGCCAGAACACGCUCGACGGUGAGGGGCGAAAGCUGGGGGAGCAAACCGGAUUAGAUACCCGGGUAGUCCCAGCUGUAAACGAUGCGGGCUAGGUGCUGGAGGGGCUACGGGCCCCUCCAGUGCCGCAGGGAAGCCGUUAAGCCCGCCGCCUGGGGAGUACGGCCGCAAGGCUGAAACUUAAAGGAAUUGGCGGGGGAGCAC